AAAGCAUGUAAAAUACAUAAUAUCUUGAUUACAACAAGAUUGAGGCAAGUUGUAUCUCAUAUAAAUACUCGAAUCCCACGUUGGAUACAUUGUAUCUGAUAACAAAUUUAAACACGAUUUGAAAUUAAACAAACUAUCGUCCGACUUUUGAAAUUUGCUCAAAGGAAAAAAUGUACAUUUGGGCCACUUUAAGAAGUAAGGUAUAUCCUGGGUUGUUAAAAAAAAGCCCAAACCUUUAAAACCCUCACGAAGCCCAAAUCAUCGUCUUCUCGAUCGCCAACUAUUCUCGGGAAUUGUGCCUGACCUCCAUUGUCGACGGAGCUCAACAGCUCUCACUCUCUUCGUAAGCCCCCCCCCCCCUCAAGGAGACCCAUAUUACCAUGAAUACCAUAAACCCUUUUUCUGCUAAAACAAUCCAAAUUGACAAGAAAAUCAACCAUUCACUUCAUCACCAUCGUUCAGUUUUGUCUAAACCAUUUUCUCCUCUCUGUUUUAGAACUCCAUUAAAAGCUUCUUCUUCAUUAUCCUUUCAAAACGCAGAAACCCCUAAAUCCAUAAACCCUCAAAACCCGUUUUCAGUUAUGUUGUCAGUUCUCAAACCUACAAUUAUUGCCACAAUUACAGCUACUUCCCUUUUCUUAACGCGAUUUCAUUAUAACCCGAAGCCCGCAUUUGCUGUGUCGCUUUCUUCUCCGCACACUACAGAGGCAAAUGUAAAGGAUUCAGCUUCUGACGAGGAAAAUGAGAAGGCCCUUGAGAGUUUUUUGCUGUCGAACCCGAAUGAUGUCGAUGCUCUGAGGAAUUUGAUGGAAAUUCAGAUAAAGAAUCGGAAAUUAGUCGAUGCCAUUAGCACUAUUGACAAGUUGAUUGAGCUAGAGCCAAAUGAGACUGAAUGGCAUUUGUUGAAAUCCCAUUUAUAUGUUUACAAUGGUGAGCUUGAAUUGGCCAAAACUGGGUUCAGUGAGAUAUUAAAGAAAGACCCUUUUCGUGUAGAGGCUUAUCAUGGGCUGGUGAUGGUGGCGUCGCAAGAAGAUUCAGUUGAGGAGUUGAAAGAAGUAAAGAAAAAAGUUGAGGAGGGGAUCAAGAUGUGUGAUAAGGAGAGUAAAAAGAGUGAAAUGAGGGAUUUUAUGCUAUUGCUUGCACAAAUUUGGGUAAUUGAAAGUAAAUACGAGGAUGCGUUGAAGGUUUAUCAGGAGUUAGUGAAGGAGGAGCCAAAGGAUUUUAGGCCUUAUUUGUGUCAAGGGAUAAUAUAUACUUUGUUGAGUAAGAAAGACGAGGCGGAGAAGAGUUUUGAGGAGUAUCGAAGAUUAGUACCACAAGGCCACCCUUAUGCUAGGUACUUUGAUGAUAAUUUGAUUGCAACAAAGCUUUUCUCUCAGAAAGUGGAGACUGAAAGAUCUAAUGGAGAUUGAAGGCAGUGUACUUCAGCUUGAUGAUUGAGAUGAAGUGUAGGAUGUUCUUAAUGGUGUGAAGCAUUUUGGGAAAAUCCGUAGGGGCUUGAUCCAAAACAGACGAUCCAUUCUAUGCGAGUUGUUGUUAUUUUGUGAAUGCUUGAGCUUUGUAGCGUGUAAACUUAGCCAUGCGUUUCCUGAAACUAGAGUACUAGACAUAAACUGAUAAAUGUAUACACAAGCUUGAAACAAACUGAUUGCUCAAAGAAAUUAUGCCCUUUUGCCUUUUUCUUUUUCUUGGCACCUCACACAAGGACAGAAACACAUAAAGAAUCAAAAAAAGAAAAAGGAGAAAGAAAAGAGGAGAAAAAGACCCUCAUUGUUGUAUUAACCUGUAUCAAAUAUUAUUAUUGAGAAGGAUGAUAAGGAGUGGCAAUCAAGUAAAGCUCACUCUUUCUUGCUGCAGUUAUUGCAGAGAGCUCAGUCAUGUCCACAUCCUCUGGCUUCUGACCAUCAGGACACAUUCUCCUUCCGGCACCAAAAGGAAGAUACUCAAAGUUAUUCCCCAAGAAAUCCACAGAGCUCUGCUUGAAUCUCUCAGGUAUGAAGCUUUCCGCAUCUUCCCAAUACUUUGGGUCCCUCCCCAUCGACCAAACAUUAACCAUGACUCUUGUUUUUAAUGGGAUGGUGUAUCCAUUGAUGUUUGUUUCUUCCCUGCAUUCUCUGGGGGCUAAGAGAGGGAGUGGAGGAUGAAGUCUCAAGGUUUCUUUAACAACUUGUUUUAGAUAUUUCAAUUCCUCAAUAACAUCCUCAUCGAAAGUUUCUUUCCCUUUGAAUACUUCUCUUACUUCUGCUUGUGCCUUUUUUAACACCCUUGGGUUCCUCAUCAUUUCUGUCAUAGCCCAUGUUGCUGUGGUUGAUGAAGUUUCUGUUCCCGCAGAGAACAAGUCCUACAUUUCAUUAUUAAUCAAAGAAGAAUUAACCUAAAUUGGGCUGCAAUAAGUAGCUCAAGAGGUCGUUUAUGUAUGAUAUACUUGUCAAAGUUGAAGGGCAUUUCUUUAAUGCCUAAUUAAUUAUGUGUAUGUCUGCUUACAAAAGAAUGCUAAAUACUUUUUGUAUUCAGUAACUCAAAAAUAGUUUUAGAGAUUUUCCCUA